rnacentral:rRNA from 1 species
UGGGGAAUAUUGCACAAUGGGCGGAAGCCUGAUGCAGCGACGCCGCGUGGGGGAUGACGGCCUUCGGGUUGUAAACCUCUUUCAGUGCAGAACAAGGCUCUUUGUGGGUUGAGGGUAUGCGCAGAAGAAGCGCCGGCUAACUACGUGCCAGCAGCCGCGGUAAUACGUAGGGCGCGAGCGUUGUCCGGAUUUAUUGGGCGUAAAGAGCUCGUAGGCGGUUUGUCGCGUCUGCUGUGAAAUCCUCUGGCUUAACUGGGGGCGUGCAGUGGGUACGGGCAGACUGGAGUGCGGUAGGGGAGACUGGAAUUCCUGGUGGAGCGGUGGAAUGCGCAGAUAUCAGGAGGAACACCGGUGGAGAAGGCGGGUCUCUGGGCCGUUACUGACGCUGAGGAGCGAAAGCAGGGGGAGCGAACA